UACGUAGGCAGCAAGCGUUGUUCGGAAUUACUGGGCGUAAAGAGUGUGUAGGCGGUGUUCUAAGUUUGUCGUGAAAUCUCCCGGCUUAACCGGGAGGGUGCGGCGAAAACUGGAAUGCUAGAGGGUGGGAGAGGAAAGCGGAAUUCCUGGUGUAGCGGUGAAAUGCGUAGAUAUCAGGAGGAACACCUGCGGUGUAGACAGCUUUCUGGACCGCUUCUGACGCUGAGACACGAAAGCGUGGGUAGCAAACAGG
rnacentral:rRNA from 1 species